AAACCUCAGUUCACCCCAGCGUGGCCCAGGCACUGCGAGCGGCCCAGGGCGGGUAGCGACAUUGCCCCAGGCUGGCGCUGGGAUUUCCCAAGAGCCUUGGUUCCCGAUGGCCCUGGGGUCGAAUCGAAGAUCCUUUUCUGCUCCAGACGUCUUUGAAAUUGCGCCUGCGACCGUCGGCUCCUCUUCUUUGACUGGAGUGAGGCCGCUGACCCUGAGCUGGUGCCCUGUUUAAAAUUGGAUGCCCGGUGUCAAAUGCGACCCAGAAGCCUGAGCUUCGGCCGAUCCAUUCCCUGGCUGUGCCUGUGAUAUUGGCCUCAGGUUUUCUGAGUAUAAGAGGAAUACUUCACAACUCACAUUUUUCUGCCUGAAGAGCUUCAAACUGCCAAGCCUCCAGUUUAUGUUUGCUUUCUGAAGGUCUCUGUACACCCUCACAGCUUCCAAAUGUAGUGAUUUAUCAAAUUAGAUGCUAAAAUAUUGCUGGGAGAAAAGACGUUAAAAUGACCAUCUGUAUGCAUUUGGUGUACCUAAAUCUUUUCAGAAAUUUGGCUAUUGUCCAUGUGCCAGUUAUUAGAAAACAAGUUGUCAUUCAUGGAACUGACCACAGGUUGUGAUGGCCUUUUUUAUACUUGCCAUAAGUAAUAAACAACUCAUUUUGGCCUUGAAGCCAGGAGAAUGGAACAAGUGGCUCUAGAGAUCAAGAAGUGAGUUAUUCGUCUUGUUAUAAACUGGACUCAGAGCUGUCUGGGAUGAGGGUAUAUGAAGAGUUCAUUAUUGAUGUCUGAGAAUAAUAACUCUUUGGAAGCAACUCAGCAUUUGAAUAACUUAAAAAAAAAUCCUUCCUUCAUCCCCAAGAUCAAACCUUAUGCACUAACAUUUAUAACCCUUUUGCUGUGUUCUGCCCUACCUGUUCUAUUUCAUUCUGCUCCAAGACUACACAGUAAGCAGGUAGUUCUUCUUUGUUUAGUAUUCCAAUACUAUACAAAUUAAUUAAAAUAUAAUAUUAAAUAUAAUAUUUAUAUUUAAAACCAUAAUUAAGAUAUAAUAUUGUCAGUGAUUGGCGACAUAGUGCCUAAAGUUUAAUUUUUUUUCCCUCUUUCUUUCCUCCCAUUGCACCUGCUAGGCUAAAAGGCUAACUGCUUUUGUAAUCACAUGGGAGAAAAAAAUACCCUGGAGUCCCCUUGAAACAUAAGGCAGGGAACACAUUGCCUGUGAGGCUUGAAAUACAGGGAGCUAAAAGUAAAGUAAGGAAAGUACAUCUACACCGUGUCAUCUUUUGGCAAUUAGCAGAUCAUAAAGUAAGAAAUAUACCAAUCAAAUAACGGAUGCCGAUUGUAGAAAAUGUUUUCUGUUCAUCACAAAAUAUCGUUUUCAAAUAGUUUUAUUUGAUUUUUAUUUUUUACUCCAUCCGGACUGCUUUUACAAUGAGAAAACACAGUGCUGUCAAAAGCAGAAUAUAAUUGUCCAAACCACAAACUCUGAAGGCCAACUAAUUUAAACUCUUUUUCAACAUUUAUUGCUGGGUAACCUCAAGUCAGUUAUUUAACCUCUGUGGGCAUCAUGAAACAUCCUUAUCUGUAAAAAAGAGAUAAUAAUAGUGGCUACCUCACUGAAUUGUGUGUUUGUACAUGUAAGCAUAGUGUCUGACACAGAGUGAGCUUUCAAUCAAGGCUACCUUAUUAUUAUUCUUGGUGGAAGAGAGAUGAUCUCCUACCCUACUUGUUUAUGACAGCUGUGCAGUUCUCUUACUCCUUUGCCCCAGGCAAAAGGUAGCUAUAGAUAGAGUGUCCAAGGAUGUCUCUGACUGGGGUGUAGGACUGCUUCUGUGCUAAGGUGGCAAGAGCCCUGCCUCGCCUUCAAAUACUCUGAGACCUAAAGCUAUCUGUAGAUUUCAGCGUGUGAGCCCCUGGGCUGAUCAUGAGGUGGUGCGGAGUGGGGCGGGGGUUCCCUGAAGGAGUUUUAAUAGUUUCAAAUAAACCUUUCCUGGUGUGAGGAAUUUGUGUGGGACAAAGUUAUGGGGGAGUGAUUAGGAGUCACUCAAAUGUAUGUGAUCUUUUCUGCUGGUGCCAUCUGGUGUAUUACCAUUUUUCUCUUUUCUUUUUGGUUGUUUCUUUGGCACUAUAUGAAAAGCUUUUCUCCAAAUUUGACUGAACAGAUCCUUGGCUCAAACUGUCAUCUUUUAAAAUUGGCCCUGGAGUAAGGGUUCAGAAAAAUUAUAUGCCCCACUUUAUCCUUUAAUGAAAUAAACUGUUCCAUCUCCUGUGCUUGACUGCCUUAGGCAGUUUACAUACUCAUCCUGAUCUGAGCUAAAAAGUGCUCUGUAUCCAUCUGGAUUAGAGAUGGUGAUAUGGCUUUACCAAUCCCAUUUCCCUUCCUUCUGGGCACCCAGCUAAAUGACAAGUCCUUGUAUCCCUGCAGUCAUUUGCCCUGUGCCCUGUGAUUGAGUUCUGGCAAAUGGAAUGUGGGUGGAAGUAGAGUAAGCCACUCUCAGGUGCUGCUCCUGAAACUGAAACCAUUAACAGCAUCUUCCAGAACUUUCUUUUGCCAUUUGGCCAUAUGCAGAGGAUUAAUGGUAGGACUCCUAGGAUCUAAUAGAUGGAAGAGCCACUAGAUGAAAGAAGGCCAGGACUCCUGAGUGGCUGUGUAGAGCUGAUAAUUUCCCCUCCCAAGAAAACUUCACUGGACUGUGAAGAAAUAAAUCUUGGGUUAAGCCACU